AGUGAACGCUGGCGGUAGGCCUAACACAUGCAAGUCGAACGGCAGCACAGUAAGAGCUUGCUCUUACGGGUGGCGAGUGGCGGACGGGUGAGGAAUACAUCGGAAUCUACUUUUUCGUGGGGGAUAACGUAGGGAAACUUACGCUAAUACCGCAUACGACCUACGGGUGAAAGCAGGGGAUCUUCGGACCUUGCGCGAUUGAAUUAGCCGAUGUCGGAUUAGCUAGUUGGCGGGGUAAAGGCCCACCAAGGCGACGAUCCGUAGCUGGUCUGAGAGGAUGAUCAGCCACCCUGGAACUGAGACACGGUCCAGACUCCUACGGGAGGCCGCAGUGGGGAAUAUUGGACAAUGGGCGCAAGCCUGAUCCAGCCAUACCGCGUGGGUGAAGAAGGCCUUCGGGUUGUAAAGCCCUUUUGUUGGGAAAGAAAAGCAGCAGGUUAAUACGCCGCUGUUCUGACGGUACCCAAAGAAUAAGCACCGGCUAACUUCGUG
rnacentral:rRNA from 1 species